UACGGGGGGGGCAAGCGUUGUUCGGAAUUACUGGGCGUAAAGGGCGCGUAGGCGGUCGAUCAAGUCAGGGGUGAAAUCCUGCAGCUUAACUGUAGAAGUGCCUUUGAUACUGGUCGUCUCGAGGGAGGUAGGGGUGUGUGGAACUUCCAGUGGAGCGGUGAAAUGCGUUGAUAUUGGAAGGAACGCCGGAGGCGAAAGCGACGCACUGGACCUCUUCUGACGCUGAGGCGCGAAAGCUAGGGGAGCAAACGGG
rnacentral:rRNA from 1 species